UGCAGUCGACGCUUUGUCUUUAAUUGAUCUGACGAGCUUGCUCUGAUUUGAUUUUAUCUGACAAAGAGUGGCGAACGGGUGAGUAACACGUGGGUAACCUACCUCUUAGCAGGGGAUAACAUUUGGAAACAAGUGCUAAUACCGUAUAAUACCAACAACCGCAUGGUUGUUGGUUGAAAGAUGGUUCUGCUAUCACUAAGAGAUGGACCCGCGGUGCAUUAGCUAGUUGGUAAGGUAACGGCUUACCAAGGCUAUGAUGCAUAGCCGAGUUGAUAGACUGAUCGGCCACAAUGGGACUGAGACACGGCCCAUACUCCUACUGGAGGCAGCAGUAUGUAAUCUUCCACAAUGGGCGCAAGCCUGAUGGAAGCAACGCCGCGUGUGUGAUGAAGGGUUUCGGCUC
rnacentral:rRNA from 1 species